AAAAGCUCUCUCUCUAGCUCUAGAGAAAAACCACUGACUAGUUUGUUUUGAGGUGUGGCGUGGCGAGGAUAGAAGAGGCAGUUCGUUCUCAACCUUCCGAGACGACAUUUGGCGCCCAACUAAUCGAACCCACGACCCUGAAGCUCGUCGCUCUCCGGCCGGUGUUUUUCGUUUUCCUCUUCGCGUUCUCGCCAUGGCUCCGCUUUGCUGCGUCUGUUCAACCCUUUCCUAGAUCCUCGGAGCUCCUACUCAGUUUCUGUAGCGCCAUCGGUUUUCGGACAGCCGGCCAGUGUGCGUCCUGCUGCCCCAGUCUUCUUCUCGGUCGGUGCGUACUGUCGGUCUCGCCGCUCCUGGAAGCGUCGCUGGGUCCGUCGGCAUAACCUGUUUUCUCAUGCAUUUGUACUUUUGUUUUGUCAUGACUGGUGGAUGGGUGGCGCACUAGGUUGGUUCUGUUCUAAGAAUAAAAGAUCCAAAGGGACAAACACAGGUCGAACAGCUCGCCAGCCGGGGUCCUCUGCAAAAAUCUGUUGCUUGCAGGUUCCGUUGAUGGUGCACAGUUUUGUGGGGCUCCCGACUGGUGUUAACCCUCCUGGCCUACUCGUCAUGCGUUCAACAGUUGUGGCCCACCUCUUUUGUGUUUUAUUGUCGCCUGUUUAUGUUGCUUCAUAUUUCAUUUCCCCUGUCUUUCUGUCUUCUUCUCCGGUCUGUCUCCUUCCGUUUUUUAUACACUUCACUUUUGCUUCCAUCCACAGGAGUGGAUGUCUUUUUUUGGUAGGGGAUAGUGUUGUACCUGCGCCUGCACGUGUUAUCUCUUCGUCGUAGCUGCUGCUGUAUUUGUGUCUCUGUGUGUACAUGUGGUUGCACGUGUUGUCUCUUCGUCGUAGCUGCUGCUGUAUUUGUGUCUCUGUGCUGCUGACCCGUACAUGCUGCUGCGCUGCUUUGUUGCUGACCCGUACAUGCUGCUGCGCUGCUUUGUUGUUGACACGUGCACCUUUUUGUGCUGAGUACACCACCUUUUGUGCUGACGAGGGCACCAAUUUCUGAUAUCAUGUUUUCC